AGAGUUUGAUUAUGGCUCAGGAUGAACGCUAGCUACAGGCUUAACACAUGCAAGUCGAGGGGCAGCAUGACGAUAGCUUGCUAUUGUUGAUGGCGACCGGCGCACGGGUGAGUAACGCGUAUCCAACCUUCCCUAUAGUAGAGAAUAGCCCGGCGAAAGUCGGAUUAAUGCUCUAUGUUGUAUUUUUGCGGACAUCUAACGAAUACCAAAGGUUUACCGCUAUAGGAUGGGGAUGCGUCUGAUUAGGUAGUCGGCGGGGUAACGGCCCACCGAGCCCUCGAUCAGUAGGGGUUCUGAGAGGAAGGUCCCCCACAUUGGAACUGAGACACGGUCCAAACUCCUACGGGAGGCAGCAGUGAGGAAUAUUGGUCAAUGGGCGAGAGCCUGAACCAGCCAAAGUAGCGUGCAGGAUGACGGCCCUAUGGGUUGUAAACUGCUUUUAUACAGGGAUAAAGUGGGGGACGCGUCCCCUUUUGUAGGUACUGUAUGAAUAAGGACCGGCUAAUUCCGUGCCAGCCGCCGC
rnacentral:rRNA from 1 species